rnacentral:rRNA from 1 species
GAUCAUGGCUCAGGACGAACGCUGGCGGCGUGCCUAAUACAUGCAAGUAGAACGCUGAAGGAAGGAAGCUUGCUCUUUUCCGGAUGAGUUGCGAACGGGUGAGUAACGCGUAGGUAACCUGCCUGGUAGCGGGGGAUAACUAUUGGAAACGAUAGCUAAUACCGCAUAACAGUAGAUGUCGCAUGAUAGCUGCUUGAAAGGUGCAAUUGCACCACUACCAGAUGGACCUGCG